rnacentral:rRNA from 1 species
UGAAGAAUAUUGCGCAAUGGGGGCAACCCUGACGCAGCAACGCCGCGUGAAGGAUGAAGGUUUUCGGAUUGUAAACUUCUUUUAUCAAGGACGAAGAAUGUGACGGUACUUGAUGAAUAAGCCACGGCUAACUACGUGCCAGCAGCCGCGGUAAUACGUAGGUGGCAAGCGUUAUCCGGAUUUACUGGGUGUAAAGGGCGAGUAGGCGGGCAGACAAGUCAGAUGUGAAAUCUGGGGGCUUAACCCCCAAACUGCAUUUGAAACUGUAGGUCUUGAGUGAUGGAGAGGCAGGCGGAAUUCCCGGUGUAGCGGUGGAAUGCGUAGAUAUCGGGGAGGAACACCAGUGGCGAAGGCGGCCUGCUGGACAUUAACUGACGCUGAGGAGCGAAAGCGUGGGGAGCAAACAGGAUUAGAUACCC